rnacentral:misc_RNA from 1 species
AACAUCGCGCACCUGCGGGAACCUGCGGAAGGAUCAUUACAGAGUUGCAAAACUCCCUAAACCGUUGUGAACGUUACCUAAACCGUUGCUUCGGCGGGCGGCCCGGGUCCUUCCCGGCGCCCAUCGGCCCUCGCGGGCGCCCGCCGGAGGUAAACCAAACUAUUGCAUUGUAUGGCCUCUCUGAGUCUUCUGUACUGAAUAAGUCAAAACUUUCAGCAAUGGAUCUCAGAUCGGAAGAGC